rnacentral:piRNA from 1 species
GAAGGUGAUGAUGACCAAACGGACCA